rnacentral:piRNA from 1 species
UUAGAUCAAAGUAUAGUCCUA